rnacentral:rRNA from 1 species
GAUGGACGCUGGCGGCGUGCCUAAUACAUGCAAGUCGAGCGAACGGACGAGAAGCUUGCUUCUCUGAUGUUAGCGGCGGACGGGUGAGUAACACGUGGAUAACCUACCUAUAAGACUGGGAUAACUUCGGGAAACCGGAGCUAAUACCGGAUAAUAUUUUGAACCGCAUGGUUCAAAAGUGAAAGACGGUCUUGCUGUCACUUAUAGAUGGAUCCGCGCUGCAUUAGCUAGUUGGUAAGGUAACGGCUUACCAAGGCAACGAUGCAUAGCCGACCUGAGAGGGUGAUCGGCCACACUGGAACUGAGACACGGUCCAGACUCCUACGGGAGGCAGCAGUAGGGAAUCUUCCGCAAUGGUCGAAAGCCUGACGGAGCAACGCCGCGUGAGUGAUGAAGGUCUUCGGAUCGUAAAACUCUGUUAUUAGGGAAGAACAUAUGUGUAAGUAACUGUGCACAUCUUGACGGUACCUAAUCAGAAAGCCACGGCUAACUACGUG